rnacentral:lncRNA from 1 species
GUUGUAGGGAAGCGGUGUCUGCGGGGUGCCGGGUGUGUGGCGGAACAGCGCUCCCGAAGCUCUGCCUCCUCGGGGAUGCGUAAAAAAAGAAUGCUUCGGACUGCGAUUGCAAUGGGAAAACAGCGAGAGAAGCUGGGCUGCUCACGGGUCGUGAAAGGGGAAGGGAGCUGAAAAAAAUGCCUUCUGAACUCAGUCAUGAAAAUAAUACAGAAACAGAUGGCAAUUCCAAAGGAGAAAUUCCAAAUUAAUUGAUUUGUUACCACCGAGUAAUUCUGAUUUAGUAGCUGGAGAUGGCGCUCUCUGUCCACAGAAUUCUGCUUCGACUGCAUUUGCUGCUGCCCAAUGCCAGCCUGAAAUUGUGCUUCCAUUUCUUUAAGAAAUAGCUCUG